rnacentral:antisense_RNA from 1 species
CUUGACCGAACCCAACCACAGCGGUUGCUCCGCGCUUCUGGCGGCACCGUAGGUGGCGAUCACGGCACCGGCUUC